rnacentral:tRNA from 1 species
GGACCCGUAGCCUAGCCUGGAUAGGCACCGGCCUUCUAAGCCGGGGGUCGGGGGUUCAAAUCCCCCGGGUCCGCCA